GUACCCUCCAACAAAGCUAACAACUUUUUGGUCACAAGCAAUAAGGAAUCCAAAGGAUCCAGGAGUGGGAAAGAAGGCAUUAGACAGUGACAAAUGUGUCUCCUGAAGGUAACUUAAUGCAGAUUCCAAAAGCAGCAUUCUCUGCUUCUCUGGAGAGUUGGUCCCUUUCUGCAGACUGACAGAGACACAAGCAGAUGUUGGUACUUACACUUUUACCUUGAUGGCAGGUUAUGAACAGAAGAAGGAGGACUCUGCAUUCAUGAACAAGAAAGAGACAGGCCCCAGGAAGGGAAGAACUCAUCACACAAGGACUCACAGGUGGCCAAUGGGUCUGGAAUGAAGGGAGCAGAAGGCAGUGAUGUGUGCAGAAGCUGAAUCAGUAGGAGGAAACAGGUACUGGCCGUAUAACUGCACCAAGGUAAUCACCAUCUCUUUGCUCAUAUGACCAUUGUGAUUAUGACACAAGAUAAAGUGAAGGCAGUACACAAAAUUAUUAAGAACAUGAACAGAAAUGAGAAGAAAUAGUUUCAGAUGGACAAAGCUAGAAGAAUGUUACUGUCACCAUUACAAUAUAAACAAUUUCAGGAAAAAUUUCAAUUACUUUUCUUACACUCGUUAGGGAAUUCAGGUCACAGGACAAAAAUCUGAGAAUCUAGAGAGUCACCACAGAGAGAAACAAGGCCCACCAAGACACCCAACAGGACUCAAUAAUGCCAGUAGGAAGAUUCAGAGAGAAAAUUUUAAUGAAUUUCUAAAAUCUGAA